CCGAGCCACCGACCGCAGUCAACGAAGCGAGCCGCUUGUCAUGCCAGUGACGAAAAUUCAGCGUCAUAACGAAAAAAUACAUCAAUUUGGAACCUAAAUAUGAGUGAUGUUACGAGCUAUGAUAAGGCAAAAGACAUUGAAGAGAAGAUGGAAAUUGCCAAAGCAGUUAUAAUGGAAGCUAAACUUGAUCACAUAUUCAAAAUGCAAGUAUGUAAGCCAAUAAAAGAAACCACUUUUUUGGAAUUCUACUAUUAUUCUAGGUGUUCGUAUAAGGAUGAUAAAUGCCCAUUACAUUUCGAUAUCCGAAAACUAAGAGAUAUGCUAAAUGAAGCGUACCUAGUUAAAAAAAUAAUUCCCACUGCCAGAGAUAUUCUUCAGCCCAUGACUCUUGAUAAGUUAGGCAAGGAUUGUUUUUUUAACUGCAUACCAUACUGUGGAUAUGUUUGGAAACAAAUCCCGGGGACGAAGAAAGCUAUAUUUGUUGAAAGCAGCGAAAGACUUGCAGGAAGAAUCGAUUAUUUGAGAAAGAUGGAGCGUUAUCGGACAGAUGGGCGUAUACAACAUUUUGUUUAUAUAGACAUUAUAGACAUUACUGGAGUUCCUGGUAAUUACAGAGCCGUCGUUUCAAACAAGCUGGGUUCAUUGUAUGAUCAUACAUCUAAAGAAGACAUUUACACAUGGUUGCAAACUUUUAUGUACAAAAUUAAAGAGCCUACUCUGUUUGUGUAUGUGAAUCCGGGUCAGAAGAAAAUAUCACCCUUCAGUACAAAAGCAGCCAUGAUGAAACGUUUAAAGGAUUUUGGAGUUCCUUUUAACAUAAACUCACAUAGAUUUGAACUAUACGAUUUGGUCCAACGUUUCGCCAAAAAUAAAGAAGACGAAUUUGCUAAACAUUUCAAAGCUUUUGGUCAUGACGCUAUCGAACGUCCUUUGUUUUUCAAUGUGCCAAAUAAAAAAAAAGAAAAUCAUGACCCACUAGAUUUUUUCCAGGAAUUUAGUCAGUUUAAAAAUGAUGUGAAAAGCAAAGCUCGAUUCAAAUUUAAUGGAACUGAAGUGUGGAGUGAUGUUGAAAAAGAACUGGCUGCUAUAGAAAAGGAAAUGUUGAAACAAGACUUGGAGAUGGAGACGGUAAUUGAUAAAAUCAUGACAUACGGUAAAUAUGAAGGGAAUGCGCCUGAGUAUUUAACUGAUUACAGUGAAGUUAAGAAGUACGAUCCAGAAUUUGGACCUAUGAAUGCGUUUGUUGAUUAAACUCAGUUUUUUGUGAUAUUUUUGAUUAAACAAAAAAAAUUGUUACUACGUGUGAGUGACCUACUCAUUAAUUAGUUAAAGAUUAAAAUACGAAGUUUAUCAAUAAUUACAGAUGUAUGCAAAUUCUGUUCUAGCAAAUAAAUGAUUAAAAGAACAA